AUGGUGAGGGCCACAGCAUAGUCCUUUAGUCUCUAUGGGCCAGAUGGUGAGGGCCACAGCAUAGUCCUUUAGUCUCUAUGGGCCAGAUGGUGAGGGCCACAGCAUGGGAAAAGAAACUGUUCAGAUGGGGGUCUAUAACAUCCAAUCACAUACUCCUCAAGAUGAGGCUCAUGAUUUAUAAGUUAUAUACCUUUUAAUCUUUACAUAUAUUGUCUUUAUUUAAACCAAGGUAGUUUGAGUUAGUAGCGAUGAAGUAGCAACUGUCAGCUGCUGUAAACCUGUGACAGUCUUCAUAGGAGAGCUGAUCUCGGAUCAGUUUAGCUUAUUAUAUCAUAUUGAUACUGCUGUAAACCUGUGACAGUCUUCAUAGGAGAGCUGAUCUCAGAUCAGUUUAGCUGUUUAUAUCAUAUUGAUACUCCUGUAAAGUCAGGUUACAGCAGGUGUUUACUGCCAUCUAGUGGAAGAUAUUUUAUUUUUAUUUCACUUUUAUUUAACUAGGUAAGUCAGAACAAAUUCUUAUUAACAAUGACGGCCUACCCCGGCCAAACCUUGACGACGCUGUGCCAAUUGUGCGCCGCCCUAUGGGACUCCCAACCAUGCAGCCUGGACUCUAACCAGGUACUGCAGUGACGCAAGAGGCGGGACUCCGCACCACUCGGGAGGCGGCUGAGCUGAAACAGAAAGUAAAUAUGUUAUUUUGUUCAGGAUCCAUUUUGAGACGACAGAGCAGAAAACACUAUAUGGAGAUUAUUGAAAAAUAAAGAUCCAUUUUGAGACGACAGAGCAGAAAACACUAUAUGGAGAUUAUUGAAAAAUAAAGGGAAGCCUGGGCAACUGAAAUGUCUGAGCUUUUUCAACAGUCUGACUGUGAACAUCUGUACCAAAACCAAAUGAAGGGAGACAUAGAUAUGAUUAAAAAACAACUGUUGAUGCGACAUGAAAAAAAGAUGGGUGGAGGAGAUGAAUCAUCAACCCAAAUUGAGAACCUUUUGUUUGAUUCAGGGUGAAUUGGUGUGUGAGAGAUAUAUUAUGUAUAACCUACCUAAAAGCAAGAGAUCUCUAUGUGCACAGGGAAGAUCAGGGAUAUUGUCUCUGUGUAUUGAAACAGGUCAGAUCAGGGAUAUUGUCUCUGUGUAUUGAAACAGGUCAGAUCAGGGAUAUUUUGCCUCUGCGUAUUGAAACAGUUCAGAUCAGGGAUAUUGUCUCUGCGUAUUGAAACAGUUCAGAUCAGGGAUAUUUCCUCUGAGUAUUGAAACAGGUCAGAUCAGGGAUAUUGUCUCUGCGUAUUGAAACAGUUCAGAUCAGGGAUAUUUCCUCUGACUAUUGAAACAGGUCAGAUCAGAGAUAUUGUCUCUGAGUAUUGAAACAGGUCAGAUCAGGGAUAUUGUCUCUGAGUAUUGAAACAGAUUAUUUCAGGGAUAUUGUCUCUGUGUAUUGAAACAGGUACGAUCAUGGAUAUUGCCUCUGAGUAUUGAAACAGGUAAGAUCAGGGAUAUUUUCUCUGAGUAUUGAAACAGGUCAGUAUUGUGGUGAAAUGGAGGAAAGACUAUGUAACUAUUGUGACCUUAAAGAAAUAGAGAAUUAAACUGAUUUAAUCCUCUAUUUCCUUUUCUACCAUGAUAUACGCUUGCUCUUAUUCCAGAAAGACCACCAGAUAUACCCUGGCAGUAUGUGAUGAGUGAUGAGGAGAAAUUGAAAUGUUUUUUUUGUCCAUUGUGUAUUUCCGUUUGUGGAAUAUUUAGAUAAAUCCUGGAAUAUAAGAAAAAUGUUUACCUAUAAUUAAAUUGUAAAAAUAUUUAGCUUCUGCGUGGUAAAUGGUACAUGUGUAUAUAGAUUGUGUAUAUGUUUGUCUCCCAUAUGAGUCUUCUAUGUGGUAAAUGGUAUGUGUAUAUAUAGAUUGUGUAUAGACUUGUCUCCCAUAUGAAUCUUCUAUGUGGUAAAUGGUAUGUGUAUAUAUAGAUUGUGUAUAGACUUGUCUCCCAUAUGAAUCUUCUAUGUGGUAAAUGGUAUGUGUAUAUAUAGAUUGUGUAUAGACUUGUCUCCCAUAUGAAUCUUCUAUGUGGUAAAUGGUAUGUGUAUAUAUAGAUUGUGUAUAGACUUGUCUCCCAUAUGAAUCUUCUCUUUGUGUCAGACUGGGUUCAAAUUCCUUCUGUUUAUUUUUUUCUGUAUUUAUUUAUCUGUAUAUGUUAUGUAUGUAUAUAUAUACAGUAUAUAUAUAUGUAUGUAUGUGUAUAUAUACAGUAUGUAUAUAUGUAUGUAUGUGUAUAUAUACAGUGUGUAUAUUAUUGUACUGCUCUAGGGAUAUAAUUAUUGUUUGCAUCACCUUAUUUACUAUUAUGUAUUGAUUUUUACCUUAUUUUUUUCACUAUUCAUGCGAUGCCCAAUGCAGAGAACACCGGAAGGAGAAUGAUCAUUUAAUUACCACAGUCAAUUAUUGUAAUGUUUGUUUAUGUGGCAAUUAUCCCCAUAAGGGAUGGGUUGCCAGUUGGCGAUUUGACACGGAAAUAAAAUAUCAUUCAUUCAUUUGUUC